GAUGAACGCUGGCGGCGUACCUAAUACAUGCAAGUCGAGCGAACAGACGAGGAGCUUGCUCCUCUGACGUUAGCGGCGGACGGGUGAGUAACACGUGGAUAACCUACCUAUAAGACUGGGAUAACUUCGGGAAACCGGAGCUAAUACCGGAUAAUAUAUUGAACCGCAUGGUUCAAUAGUGAAAGACGGUUUUGCUGUCACUUAUAGAUGGAUCCGCGCCGCAUUAGCUAGUUGGUAAGGUAACGGCUUACCAAGGCAACGAUGCGUAGCCGACCUGAGAGGGUGAUCGGCCACACUGGAACUGAGACACGGUCCAGACUCCUACGGGAGGCAGCAGUAGGGAAUCUUCCGCAAAGGGCGAAAGCCUGACGGAGCAACGCCGCGUGAGUGAUGAAGGUCUUCGGAUCGUAAAACUCUGUUAUUAGGGAAGAACAAAUGUGUAAGUAACUAUGCACGUCUUGACGGUACCUAAUCAGAAAGCCACGGCUAACUACGUG
rnacentral:rRNA from 1 species